rnacentral:rRNA from 1 species
GACGAACGCUGGCGGCGUGCUUAACACAUGCAAGUCGAGCGGUAAGGCCCUUCGGGGUACACGAGCGGCGAACGGGUGAGUAACACGUGGGUGACCUGCCUCUAGCUCUGGGAUAAGCCUGGGAAACUGGGUCUAAUACCGGAUAUGACUCCACGGCGCAUGUUGUGGGGUGGAAAGCCUUGUGUGGCUAGAGAUGGGCCCGCGGCCUAUCAGCUUGUUGGUGGGGUGAUGGCCUACCAAGGCGACGACGGGUAGCCGGCCUGAGAGGGCGACCGGCCACACUGGGACUGAGACACGGCCC